ACGGAGCGACGCCGCGUGUGGGAAGAAGGCCUUCGGGUCGUAAACCACUGUCGAAGGGGACGAUAUUGACGGUACCCUUGGAGGAAGCCCCGGCUAACUACGUGC
rnacentral:rRNA from 1 species